rnacentral:rRNA from 1 species
AUUGAACGCUGGCGGCAGGCCUAACACAUGCAAGUCGAGCGGAUGAAGGGAGCUUGCUCCUGGAUUCAGCGGCGGACGGGUGAGUAAUGCCUAGGAAUCUGCCUGGUAGUGGGGGAUAACGUCCGGAAACGGGCGCUAAUACCGCAUACGUCCUGAGGCAGAAAGUGGGGGAUCUUCGGACCUCACGCUCUCAGAUGAGCCUAGGUCGGAUUAGCUAGUUGGUGGGGUAAAGGCCUACCAAGGCGACGAUCCGUAACUGGUCUGAGAGGAUGAUCAGUCACACUGGAAGUGAGACACGGUCCAGACUCCUACGGGAGGCAGCAGUGGGGAAUAUUGGACAAUGGGCGAAAGCCUGAUCCAGCCAUGCCGCGUGUGUGAAGAAGGUCUUCGGAUUGUAAAGCACUUUAAGUUGGGAGGAAGGGCAGUAAGUUAAUACCUUGCUGUUUUGACGGUACCAACAGAAUAAGCACCGGCUAACUUCGUG